rnacentral:rRNA from 1 species
AUUGAACGCUGGCGGCAGGCUUAACACAUGCAAGUCGAGCGAGCGGCGGACGGGUGAGUAAUGUCUGGGAAACUUCCUGAUGGAGGGGGAUCACUACUGGAAACGGUAGCUAAUACCGCAUACCAUCAGAUGUGCCCAGCUGGGAUUAGCUAGUAGGUGGGGUAAUGGCUCACCUCGGCGGCGAUGCCUAGCGGGUCUGAGAGGAUGACCAGCCAAACUGGAACUGAGACACGGUCCAGACUCCUACGGGAGGCAGCAGGGGGAAAUAUUGCACAAUGGGCGCAAGCCGGAUGCAGCAAUGCCGCGUGGGUGAAGCAGGCCUUCGGGUUGUAAAGCACUUUCAGCGAGGAGGCGUUACUCGCAGAAGAAGCACCGGCUAACUCCGUGCCAGCAGCCGCGGUAAUAC